rnacentral:rRNA from 1 species
UACGUAGGGUGCAAGCGUUAAUCGGAAUUACUGGGCGUAAAGCGUGCGCAGGCGGUUUUGUAAGACAGAGGUGAAAUCCCCGGGCUCAACCUGGGAACUGCCUUUGUGACUGCAAGGCUAGAGUACGGCAGAGGGGGGUGGAAUUCUGCGUGUAGCAGUGAAAUGCGUAGAUAUGCGGAGGAACACCGAUGGCGAAGGCAGCCCCCUGGGUCAAGAUUGACGCUCAUGCACGAAAGCGUGGGGAGCAAACAGG